UAAAUCGAAGCACAUGUACAGUUGUAGACGACGGGUAUUGGCAGUACGGCGGGUAUUUACAGUACGGCGGGUAUUGCCGAUAUUUGACAAAGGGAGAAGAACGUCAAGACAGAGAAAUCAUGUUAGUGUUGGGGCUAGUGGAUAUUCCCAUAUGGGCCCAGCUCCUCAUUCUACUGGUUGGCAUGGUGAUAGCAUACGUUGUGUACAUGUCUUGGGAUUACAAUAUGUUUAAGAAGAUGGGCGUGGAUGGUCCAAAGCCUUCCCUUGUCGUUGGAAAUAUGGGGAUGUUCAUGUCAGAGGGCAUUGUCAAAGCUGAGCAGAACUUGUACACAAAAUAUGGGAAAAUAUUUGGGACGUUUGAAGGAAGGCUCCCCAACCUGUUUAUUGCUGACCCGAAGUUACUGAAAGAAAUUCUCGUGAAGGAUUUCAACAGUUUUGUCAAUAGGAGGGACUUCGAUCAGAUGGAUGGCCCACUUCGCGAUUCUCUGUUAUCAAUACAAGAUGACCAUUGGCGGUUUGUCAGAAACAUGAUCACACCAACCUUCAGUGGAAAAAAGUUGAAAGAGAUGGGACCACUAUUAAGACAAGCAGGAGACUUAUUGAUUGAAAUGUUAGAAGCAAAGGCAGCCAAAAAUGAGGACACAAGCUUGAAAGAAACGUUUGGUGCGUACACUAUUGAUUGCAUUGCCAGAACAGCGUUUGGUUUGGAGAUUAAUACUCAGAGAGACCCAGAUGACCCAUUCAUAAAACAUUCGAAGGCAUUCACAGAAUCAACAAUCAUGGUAGUGCAAAUUAUGAUUAUCUUAUUUUUCCCGUUCCUGGCAUGGCUGCCUCGCCUUUUCCAAUCCAUGGGAAUCAAUCUGAACAAAAAUGCUACAAAUUUCUUCGUCUCCGUAACUGAAACGGCUUUGAAAGAAAGACGGCAGAAUCCAGGGAACCAUGCAGAUUUCUUAGAACUCAUGGCACACUCUCAAGCAGCAAAUGAAGAGUCUUCUAAGACGGAAGGGGUUACUGCAAGCCCAGGGUCAUCCAGGAAAACGCUGACAGACGCGGAGAUCAGGUCUCAGGCACUUCUGUUUUUCCUUGCGGGGUAUGAUACAACAUCUAACAGCCUGAUGUUUACUUUCUACCACCUGGCAAUCCACACAGACGUCUGUGAUAGGGUGAUGCAGGAAGUCGAUGAUAACUUGGGAAAGGAAAAACCCGAUUAUGAUAACAUCAAAAAACUUACUUAUAUGGAAAUGGUGAUCGAGGAAACUAUGAGAAUCUUUCCUGCAGCAUCCAGAAUUGACCGAAUAGCCAGUCGAGAUGUCACCAUUGGAAAUGUCAAAAUCCCUAAAGGCAUGAUCGUGAACAUCCCAGUAGGCGCCAUACAGAUGGACCCCGAAUACUGGACUGACCCAGACAAGUUUGACCCUGAAAGGUUUACUCCUGAGGCCAAGGCUAAUAGGGACCCCUACACUUAUCUCCCAUUCGGAGCAGGCCCCCGAAACUGUAUCGGUGUUCGACUUGCUAUGAUGGAACAAAAGAUGUGCAUGGCUCAGGUCCUACAACACUUUAGACCAGUCCGGAGUGAGAGGACAGAUUGCCCACCAAAGAUAAGUAAGCUUGGAAACACGGUGACUGAUGAAGGUCUGUGGAUCAAGUUUGAGAAGAGGAGCUAAGCUAAUACUGUCUGAACUCUGAUAUAGCCCCCAGUGCUUGUAUGUAAAUGAGAAGCAAACAACGACGACAAAAGAUGUUGUAUACUUUUACUUUGUUGUAUUAAUGUUUUUUACUUGUUUGUCAUCAGAAAAUUUGCAUUGCAAAACAUAUGAGCACACUGGGAACUCCGGAUUUCCUCCUCUACCAAAACCUAGCACGUCUUUAAAUGACCAUAGCUGUUAAUAGAACGUAAAACACUAACAAACCAAACCAUCUCGCACAUAUAUAUGUAAUCUACAAAUCGGUUGUUCGCUCAGGAAGGAACUUGAUGUCUUUAAGCAGUAAAACGAUUUCUACAUACGUUGUAUUAAUUUAAGACGGUAAAGACGCACAACGUUUGAAUUUUACGCUUUUAUACUCGUGUUAUCUGUCAUGUUCGCCCAAUUGCAGGUGUUGUAUUUUUAUUUCUCUUAACUAUUAACUUGCUACGACGAGAAACUAAUGUGAAGACCAAGGGAAACAUUUUGGAAAUUAGAUAAAUAUAUAACUGCUUUACAUGGCUUCACAGCCUUAACAAUGCAAACAACACUAAAACACUCAACUGACAU
rnacentral:misc_RNA from 1 species